AGGUGAAGGCGGACAUUACGCAUAAAGUAAUUAGAAGGCUCCGGCAGAAAUUUGGUGAACGCAGGUCCAAAGAACAAAUAAGAAAGAGGUGGUCAGACCUGAAAAAAAGAGAGCCAGAGCAACUUCAGGCAAUAAAAAGAUUGAUUAGAGCAAAAAGUAAGUUCAUUUUAUGUGCCCUAAUUUUAGGUGUUUGUUCUUUGUGCCAUGUGCUUUUCCCUUCAGGUUGAAAUGUAUUUGUGUGGGCACAAUAAUUUGUCGUAUGAGUUGUCGUUCAUUCGUUAAUUUAACUAAUAUUAAACGACGAUAUUCCCGAUAAUUUGCAACAUGCCUAGUUCACAUGGACAAAUUGUAGUGCAAUCACUGUAUCAGCCACAAAUAAAAACGUAUUUGUCUGAUUUAUGUUAUAACGAACGACGACUCAUACGACCAGUUCCUGUGUUCCCAAAUAUUCCACUUUACACAAAUUUUUGGGGUUUAAUGUGACAUCAAUUUGUAAACAUUUAUGUAGAUGUUUACCUAAUUAGAUCUUAAUAAUUUGUAUCUAAAAUAUGCACAAAAAGGACAGUGUACUCAGCAGAGGAUUAUACACAUAGGGAUUUAUUUGGUUUAGAAUUGUGAUUUAAAGUUUCAUCCCUCUAAAAUUUUACCAUUCUGUUUUCCCUUUCUUAAAUCUCGUAGGGCGAAAGGAAGCAUCAAGGCAGGACGCAAGUUCGCAAGCCACACCCCCGAGGGAUCUUGAUGAAGGGGAAGCUGCCACCACAUCUGGAGCAACUCGUGCUGGCUCUUCAAUUGACAGGGACACUGCCCAGCUCCUCAUUGCAGAAAUUUGGUCCUGCCGGGAAAAGAAUGAAGACCUACAGAUAGCAGCCCGGAAAAUACUUAAAAAUGCAAAAAGUGUUGAGGUCCAGUUGAAAAAUCUACUGGAUGUUUUGGGUAGGGUGUGAA